CACAGGCACGGCACUCGUUGGAAACUUGGAAUGCCCUAUCAGAUCGCAUCGCACCCAAAAAUCAAGAGCCUGCUGGAUUCAAACGGCUGAUUCAAACGACCAGAGUCCGGACACUCACACUCCCCUGCUGCGCCUGCCGCCUGCGUUUCGGCCACCGCACUACUUCCCCAAUCCCCUUGAUAUCGCCCACCCGCGCUCGCCGCCGCCGCUGGGCGGCGAUGGAAACCCUAAUGGUAGACCGCGUCCACAGUAGCCUCCGCCUCUUCAUGUACCGCAACGCCAUAUUCCUCUGCGAGCGCCUCUGCGCACAGUUCCCCUCCGAGACCAAUGUGCAAUUGCUAGCAACCUGCUACCUACACAACAAUCAGCCAUAUGCUGCAUAUCACGUUUUGAAAGGGAAGAAGCUGCCGGAGUCCCGGUACUUGUUUGCUACAUCAUGCUUUCGAAUGAACCUCUUGCGUGAAGCAGAAGAAAUUCUAUGUCCAGUCAAUGAGCCAAACAUGGAGGUUCCAAGUGGAGCAACAGGACACUACCUCCUUGGAGUGAUCUACAGGUGCACAGGCAGAAUUUCAGCUGCAGCUGAACAAUUUACACAAGCGUUGACUCUAGAUCCUCUUUUAUGGGCGGCAUAUGAGGAAUUGUGUAUAUUAGGUAUUGCCGAAGAUACCGAUGAGUGUUUUAGUGAAUCGACUGCUCUACGUCUCCAGCAGGAACACACAUCCACGUCCACUUUGGUGAAGUCGAACUUUGCCAAUGAAAAUCGAGUUCUAUCAUCCAGUGUCUCUGCAAGUUUUGGGGAUAUUAUUCCUAAGCAAAUCAAACAGCUUCAUGCUAACAACAUAACAGAAGUAUCUGGUUAUCCUCAUGUAAGACCAACCGCAUUGCAUGUGCAGAACAGUUCAACUUCUAAUGUAUCACAGUUUGACACCCCAUCACCAGCUGCAGCACAGACUUCUAUCAUGCCACCACCACUAUUUAGGAAUGUACAUGCUUACCAGAAUACAAUAAGUGGCGAUGCUCCCACUAAGCAGAAAGCUAAUGGAGUAAGCCAGCCACUCAGAAGGAAAUACAUGGAUGAAGCAAGGCUAAAGAAGGUUUCUGGAAGGUUGUUUAAUAGCGAUGCAAUGCCUCGAAGAAGUCAAAGACUUAAAGAUACAACAACAAAUUCAAAUACAUCUCAAAUUGGAGGAAAUGGAACAGAUCAUUUGUCAGGUAAAUUGCGAGUAAACUCGUCCACACAAUCAAAAUUGUGUUCAACAGCCAUACGUUCUGUGCAAGUUAGGAAAGGAAAACCACGGGCUACAGAAAAUUUUGAUGAAGGAAGUAGAUAUGAAGUCAUUGAUGAAAUGUGGACAGACAAUAUGUCAGGAACUUCAUCUUCUGUAAGUACAGCUGAUGGAAGAUCCUUUGAGCAAGAUAGAGCUGAACGAAUUCUGUUGCAAGACUCCAAAGUGGCACUUGGUAUUAGGGAGCUAUUGGGACUUUUCCGAACACUGGGGGAAGGUUUUAGGCUUUCUUGCUUGUUUAAGUGCCAGGAAGCACUGGAAGUCUACAGAAAACUCCCUGAGUCGCAGUUUAACACUGGAUGGGUUCUAUGCCAGGUUGGUAAGGCAUAUUUUGAAUUAGUUGAUUAUUUGGAAGCUGAUCAUUAUUUUGAGCUGGCACACCGACUAUCGCCUUGUACGCUUGAUGGAAUGGACAUCUAUUCUACUGUUCUUUAUCAUCUGAAUGAGGAAAUGAGACUAAGCUACCUUGCUCAAGAGCUUAUUUCCAUUGAUCGACUAUCUCCUCAAGCAUGGUGUGCAGUGGGCAAUUGCUUUGCCUUGAGAAAAGAUCAUGAGACUGCUUUGAAGAAUUUUCAACGUUCGGUACAGCUUGACUCAAGAUUUGCAUAUGCUCACACUCUAUGUGGUCAUGAGUAUUCUGCACUGGAGGAUUAUGAGAAUAGUAUCAAAUUCUACAGAUGUGCACUGCAGGUAGAUGAAAGGCACUACAAUGCUUGGUAUGGCCUUGGGGUGGUGUAUCUUCGCCAGGAAAAGUUUGAGUUUGCUGAGCAUCAUUUCAGAAGGGCAUUUCAGAUAAAUCCUCGCUCUUCUGUUCUCAUGUGCUAUCUUGGGAUGGCCUUGCAUUCUCUUAAGGUUGAUAUCAUUGAUCGACAACAAUAGACUACUCCCUCUGAUUCCAAAUAUAGAGGAAUGAAGAGGCACUGGAAAUGAUGGAGAAAGCUAUAGCAGCUGAUAAGAAGAAUCCACUGCCCAAGUAUCAGAAGUCCUUAAUCCUUCUAGGACUAAUGAAGUAUGAAGAAGCUCUGGAUGAGUUGGAGCGGCUAAAGGAGAUUGCACCCCAUGAGAGUAGUAUGUAUGCACUGAUGGGAAAGAUUUACAAGCAACUCAAUAUUCUUGACAAAGCUGUUUUCUGCUUCGGCAUUGCCCUGGAUUUGAAACCACCUGCUGCUGAUCUUGCUAUAAUUAAGUCCGCAAUGGAGAAAGUACAUCUCCCUGAUGAACUGAUGGAGGAUGACCUAUAAGUUCACUCAAGCAUCGUGAGAAAUGAACAUUUACUUCGGGUUCAUGAUGACCCGCCUGUGCUUCGUGUUCCUGGCCUAGUGGCCUGCUUGGGCUUCUCAAGUGGAACUCGGAAGUCGGAGCUGUACCAUUAGCCAUCCAGUUUGGAAUGAAAAGAAAAAAAAAUUAACCAUCCAGUUUUGUAGAUUUAGUUUUAGCCUGUAAUCAGAGAACACAUGCGCAGAAGCUGCGGUAGUUUAGGACUCUGUACAAGUGUUGGCGAAAUGACGCCUGUACCAUUAUCAAAUAACGGAAAUAAUUAAAGGAUGAGGAUCCAGCUGAUUCAAGCAGAUUGUUUGUCGCAUCUACAAACCUUUUAAAGGUGUCACAUUCAAAGGUUGAAAACAUUUCAGCCCAAGUAAAUCGAUUUGAAGAAGAGCGGAGGAAAAGAGGAUGCUUCCGCGAGUCAGCCUCCUACUAACUACUGGCUUGGAGGUGGGGGAUAAAGCUAGGCUCUUCAUGCAAGCAAAGUGUAACCAUCCGUUUUCUUGCUAGUAGCCUGUAUCAUUGCUGCAUAUCCUGGCAUCAUUAAGAAACCAUCCAAAGGAGAGUGUCAGUGAUGAGCAAUUUCUGGAAAAGUUUUACUUUGCAUUA